UGGCACCCAAUGUGCGGCACGAGAACAGGGGACUUCCUGAGGGGUGCUGUUCGUGGGCCCAAAGUAGAAAAAGGAAAAGAAAAUAGAGAACCCGGCCACAUGGGAGCCUGCCACGUUGCUGAGCCUCGGUAAGUGAACAGCAAUUAUGGGACAAGAAAUCAGCCAGCAUGAGCUUUUUGUUGAAAAGUUAGUAAAACUUUUAAAGGCAUGAGGGGUAAAGGUGAAUAUUAUGCCAACACUUUGAUUCUAUAAAAGAGAUUUGCCCUU
rfam:Cavia porcellus supercont2_5 genomic scaffold, whole genome shotgun sequence.